GACGAACGCUGGCGGCGUGCUUAACACAUGCAAGUCGAACGGAAAGGCCCUGCUUUUGUGGGUUUCUCGAUUGCCGCACGGGUGUGUAACACGCGUGUAACCUGCCCUUGACUUUGGGAUAACUUCAGGAAACUGGGGCUCAUACCGCAUAGGAGCUCCUGCUGCACGUUGGUGGUUGGAAAGUUUCGGCGGUUGGGGAUGGACUCGCGGCUUAUCAGCUUGUUGGUGGGGUAGUGGCUUACCAAGGCUUUGACGGGUAGCCGGCCUGAGAGGGUGACCGGCCACAUUGGGACUGAGAUACGGCCCAGACUCCUACGGGAGGCAGCAGUGGGGAAUAUUGCACAAUGGGCGGAAGCCUGAUGCAGCAACGCCGCGUGCGGGAUGACGGCCUUCGGGUUGUAAACCGCUUUCGCCUGUGACGAAGCGUGAGUGACGGUAAUGGGUAAAGAAGCACCGGCUAACUACGUG
rnacentral:rRNA from 1 species